AGCGGCGGACGGGUGCGUAAUGCUUAGGAAUCUGCCUAUUAGUGGGGGACAACAUCUCGAAAGGGAUGCUAAUACCGCAUACGUCCUACGGGAGAAAGCAGGGGAUCUUCGGACCUUGCGCUAAUAGAUGAGCCUAAGUCGGAUUAGCUAGUUGGUGGGGUAAAGGCCUACCAAGGCGACGAUCUGUAGCGGGUCUGAGAGGAUGAUCCGCCACACUGGGACUGAGACACGGCCCAGACUCCUACGGGAGGCAGCAGUGGGGAAUAUUGGACAAUGGGCGCAAGCCUGAUCCAGCCAUGCCGCGUGUGUGAAGAAGGCCUUAUGGUUGUAAAGCACUUUAAGCGAGGAGGAGGCUACUUUAGAUAAUACCUAGAGAUAGUGGACGUUACUCGCAGAAUAAGCACCGGCUAACUCUGUGCCAGCAGCCGCGGUAAUACAGAGGGUGCAAGCGUUAAUCGGAUUUACUGGGCGUAAAGCGCGCGUAGGCGGCUAAUUAAGUCAAAUGUGAAAUCCCCGAGCUUAACUUGGGAAUUGCAUUCGAUACUGGUUAGCUAGAGUGUGGGA
rnacentral:rRNA from 1 species